rnacentral:rRNA from 1 species
AUUGAACGCUGGCGGAAUGCUUUACACAUGCAAGUCGAACGGCAGCACGGGGCAACCUGGUGGCGAGUGGCGAACGGGUGAGUAAUAUAUCGGAACGUGCCCAAUCGUGGGGGAUAACGUAGCGAAAGUUACGCUAAUACCGCAUACGAUCUACGGAUGAAAGCAGGGGACCGCAAGGCCUUGCGCGGACGGAGCGGCCGAUGGCAGAUUAGGUAGUUGGUGGGAUAAAAGCUUACCAAGCCGACGAUCUGUAGCUGGUCUGAGAGGACGACCAGCCACACUGGGACUGAGACACGGCCCAGACUCCUACGGGAGGCAGCAGUGGGGAAUUUUGGACAAUGGGCGCAAGCCUGAUCCAGCCAUGCCGCGUGCAGGAUGAAGGCCUUCGGGUUGUAAACUGCUUUUGUACGGAACGAAAGACUCUUUCUAAUAAAGAGGGUCCAUGACGGUACCGUAAGAAUAAGCACCGGCUAACUACGUGCCAGCAGCCGGGUAAUAGUA